rnacentral:rRNA from 1 species
CCUACGGGAGGCAGCAGUGGGGAAUAUUGCACAAUGGGCGCAAGCCUGAUGCAGCCAUGCCGCGUGUGUGAAGAAGGCCUUCGGGUUGUAAAGCACUUUCAGCGGGGAGGAAGGCGUUAAGGUUAAUAACCUUGUCGAUUGACGUUACCCGCAGAAGAAGCACCGGCUAACUCCGUGCCAGCAGCCGCGGUAAUACGGAGGGUGCAAGCGUUAAUCGGAAUUACUGGGCGUAAAGCGCACGCAGGCGGUCUGUCAAGUCGGAUGUGAAAUCCCCGGGCUCAACCUGGGAACUGCAUUCGAAACUGGCAGGCUAGAGUCUUGUAGAGGGGGGUAAAAUUCCAGGUGUAGCGGUGAAAUGCGUAGAGAUCUGGAGGAAUACCGGUGGCGAAGGCGGCCCCCUGGACAAAGACUGACGCUCAGGUGCGAAAGCGUGGGGAGCAAACAGGAUUAGAUACCCUAGUAGUC